CGGAGGGUGCGAGCGUUAAUCGGAAUUUACUGGGCGUAAAAGCGCAUGCAGGUGGUUUGUUAAGUCAGAUGUGAAAGCCCGGGGCUCAACCUCGGAAUUGCAUUUGAAACUGGCAAACUAGAGUACUGUAGAGGGGGUAGAAUUUCAGGUGUAGCGGUGAAAUGCGUAGAGAUCUGAAGGAAUACCGGUGGCGAAGGCGGCCCCCUGGACAGAUACUGACACUCAGAUGCGAAAGCGUGGGGAGCAAACAGGAUUAGAUACCCUCGGUAG
rnacentral:rRNA from 1 species